UAGACAGUGCAGAUGAAGUCCCCGGCUUGCUGGAGAGCAGUGGGAAAGAUCUUCAACCCAUAGCUUCCCACAUGUGGGCUAAAUCCCCAUACACAGCAUGGACACCACCCUGGGGCAUCCCCAGGAGAAACUGGAGCAGGUCCCACAUGAAGAAGGUGCUCCAGGAAGGCCCCCAUGUCCAGGACUCACCUGCGUCCCACUGGACGCUGCCUCUCGCAUCUUCAUGAUGGCCAUGAUCUCAUCCUGCUGCUUCUUCAUCUCCUGGUCAUUGACCUGCCAAGGAAGAGGAACCAUCAGGGAAUGGUUGAAGUUGGAAAGGACCUCUGGAGAUUAUAAUCUAGUCCAACAAAAGCAAGGAGUUCCUCUGAAGCAAGGGGAUGUCUAUAGAAUAGACCCAGCUCCAUCCUCCUCCCACUUCUCCAUGCGCUGGGAAUGUCCACACUGAUCCAGCCCCAGAUCCCCAGAGCAGUAUGGUGGGGCUGGUGAACCUACGUUGAAGAUCUUCACGUAGUGGCUGAUGAGGUCCUCCACCACGCGCCCAGCCUUGUAGUCCUUCCCGUCCGUCUGGAAGAGCGUGGGUCCAAAGACGAUGGCCAAGUUGUGCGUGUUCAUCUGGUUCUCCCCAGAGAAGCGCUGGACCCUGCGGGGACCCCCAUGACAAUUCCUGCCCCUGGGAGCCCCACGUUGGUCUCACCAAAAGGAAUGUCCCCCACGCUCAGCUUCGGGCAGAUCUUGACCCCAAACCCCCUUCCCUGGGACAUGAGCCAAGGGAUGAAGGUUCUCCUUCACCCCAGGACCCCGCCACGGAGGGCACGAUGCCCCACAGGGGCUUGGGGACCCCAGGCUUGGCCACACAGUGUCCCCGCUGCCCACACCAUACCGAAAGAGGUGGUUGAUGAGUGCCUUCAGUGUUGCCCGGUUCACCGUGGGGAGGGCGGCCAGAAGCCGCCGGUACUCGCUGAUCUUCUCCUCCUCGUCCUCCAACGCUGCCAGAGGGGCAGGAAGGAAAGAAUGGCAGGGGGAUGAAGGUACCGCACCAGCACGUACCGCACUGGGUGAUGUAGUCGAUGCACCGAUCCACCAGCAACGGGACGUCCGACUCCGUCAGCUGCUGCUCCGACAGGGUGUCCCCCGAGGUCCCUGCUGCUUUCUGGAUGGCGUGGAGCC